rnacentral:rRNA from 1 species
UGAGGAAUAUUGGUCAAUGGACGGAAGUCUGAACCAGCCAAGUCGCGUGAAGGAUGACUGCCCUAUGGGUUGUAAACUUCUUUUGUAUUGGGAGAAUAAGCCUUACGUGUAAGGUGAUGACUGUACAAUACGAAUAAGCAUCGGCUAACCCCGUGCCAGCAGCCGCGGUAAUACGUAGGGGGCAAGCGUUGUCCGGAAUCAUUGGGCGUAAAGCGUUCGUAGGCGGUAUGUCAAGUCUGGUGUUAAAGCCCGAGGCUCAACCUCGGUUUGGCAUUGGAUACUGGCAAACUAGAAUGUGGUAGAGGUAAAGGGAAUUCCUGGUGUAGCGGUGAAAUGCGUAGAGAUUGGGAGGAACACCAGUGGCGAAGGCGACUUACUGGGCUGUAACUGACGCUGAGGCGCGAAAGCGUGGGGAGCGAACA